CAUUUUUCACGCAGGUUAUCCGCGGCAUGUGCAUUUGCAUUUUUAUCAAAAUAGUCCAUCGAUUUAUUGUAUGUCGUUUAUUGGCCAAACCUGACGUGUGAAGUAAUGGAUGGACUAUAUUACUCAGACACCGCAGUGUGCUGUAAAGCUCUCUGUGGUGUGAUUGCAGCAUUGUUUCCUCAAAGCCAUGCCCAGCGCCGGACGAUUUUCUCUCAUCUUGCAGGAGGUGAGCGAACUUGCACGCCUCUCUUCAUCAAACCCAC
rnacentral:lncRNA from 1 species